ACCGAACCGACUAAUGUUGAAAAAUUAGCGGAUGACUUGUGGCUGGGGGUGAAAGGCCAAUCAAACCGGGAGAUAGCUGGUUCUCCCCGAAAGCUAUUUAGGUAGCGCCUCGUGAAUUCAUCUCCGGGGGUAGAGCACUGUUUCGGCUAGGGGGUCAUCCCGACUUACCAACCCGAUGCAAACUGCGAAUACCGGAGAAUGUUAUCACGGGAGACACACGGCGGGUGCUAACGUUCGUCGUGAAGAGGGAAACAACCCAGACCGCCGGCUAAGGUCCCAAAGUCAUAAUUAAGUGGGAAACGAAGUGGGAAGGCUCAGACAGCCAGGAUGUUGGCUUAGAAGCAGCCAUCAUUUAAAGAAAGCGUAAUAGCUCACUGGUCGAGUCGGCCUGCGCGGAAGAUGUAACGGGGCUAAAUUAUGCACCGAAGCCGCGGCAGCGAUAUGUAAAUAUUGUUGGGUAGGGGAGCG
rnacentral:rRNA from 1 species